CACCAUUUUAAGCUUGGACGGAGCUUUUGACUUCCGAUUUGAGCACCGAGACGAGCGCCGAUCAUCUUUUCGAUCAUGUAUCUAAGUAGGUUGAGCUGAUGUGAUGAUGGUGCUGCAAUGAGCGGAGUCUCCAGGGUUGUUAAUAAAUAGUUAACCUGUCUAGAAUAUGUCUUCAUACAUAUGUCUAGCUACUUUCCGCUGCAAGAUGUUGUUGAUGUUAUAGUAUGUUAUGUCAUACUUUGAGUCUUAAGAGAAUGGUUGCAUAUGAUGUAUAACUUGAUUAAUGAUAUUAAUUAACUUUUAUGCAGUCUUUCAUAGACUGUUUUCAAUUGAGUAUUAAUGAAUAAAAAUGACGAGUUUUAUUAA